AUGUUGUAUAGGUACUAUAACCAGAGAUUCGGCGCAAACAGACCACAAAAUCUAGACCUUACGGACGAUACGCAAGAAGGUGUGGAUUAGCAUACUUUGAUAGCCCAGUACCUUUGCAACCUGUAACCAAGACACUAUGUGACGACCCCCUUUGUGUUAGCUGCUUGUGAAGUUUAUGUGCGAUACUAUGUGGACAGAGGCAUGUUAUUUAGCUAAAUAAAACGGUUCAUGGACACUCACGUACUAUCUAGUUAAAUAUGUAACAGUAAUGUGUAAUAGCGACACGUAAAACGCUGAUGUAUCAUAUUGUUUAAUUAAUGUUUAAUAGAGCAUCUUUAUAACAA